AUGCAGUCGAACGGUGAAGCAGAGCUUGCUCUGUGGAUCAGUGGCGAACGGGUGAGUAACACGUGAGCAACCUGCCCCUGACUCUGGGAUAAGCGCUGGAAACGGCGUCUAAUACCGGAUAUGAGCUGCGAUCGCAUGGUCAGCAGUUGGAAAGAUUUUUCGGUCUGGGAUGGGCUCACGGCCUAUCAGCUUGUUGGUGAGGUAAUGGCUCACCAAGGCGUCGACGGGUAGCCGGCCUGAGAGGGUGACCGGCCACACUGGGACUGAGACACGGCCCAGACUCCUACGGGAGGCAGCAGUGGGGAAUAUUGCACAAUGGGCGAAAGCCUGAUGCAGCAACGCCGCGUGAGGGAUGACGGCCUUCGGGUUGUAAACCUCUUUUAGCAGGGAAGAAGCGAAAGUGACGGUACCUGCAGAAAAAGCGCCGGCUAACUACGUGCCAGCAGCCGCGGUAAUACGUAGGGCGCAAGCGUUAUCCGGAAUUAUUGGGCGUAAAGAGCUCGUAGGCGGUUUGUCGCGUCUGCUGUGAAAUCCCGAGGCUCAACCUCGGGUCUGCAGUGGGUACGGGCAGACUAGAGUGCGGUAGGGGAGAUUGGAAUUCCUGGUGUAGCGGUGGAAUGCGCAGAUAUCAGGAGGAACACCGAUGGCGAAGGCAGAUCUCUGGGCCGUUACUGACGCUGAGGAGCGAAAGGGUGGGGAGCAAACAGGCUUAGAUACCCUGGUAGUCCACCCCGUAAACGUUGGGAACUAGUUGUGGGGUCCAUUCCACGGAUUCCGUGACGCAGCUAACGCAUUAAGUUCCCCGCCUGGGGAGUACGGCCGCAAGGCUAAAACUCAAAGGAAUUGACGGGGACCCGCACAAGCGGCGGAGCAUGCGGAUUAAUUCGAUGCAACGCGAAGAACCUUACCAAGGCUUGACAUACACGAGAACGGGCCAGAAAUGGUCAACUCUUUGGACACUCGUGAACAGGUGGUGCAUGGUUGUCGUCAGCUCGUGUCGUGAGAUGUUGGGUUAAGUCCCGCAACGAGCGCAACCCUCGUUCUAUGUUGCCAGCACGUAAUGGUGGGAACUCAUGGGAUACUGCCGGGUCACUCGGAGAAAGGUGGGGAUGACGUCAAUCAUCAUGCCCCUUAUGUNUGGGCUUC
rnacentral:rRNA from 1 species